CCGGGAGUUGAUUUAAGCAUUGAAUUGUUGCUUCCCAAUUGCGAACUUUACAUUUCUUAAAGCAACAUUCAAGCAGCGCUUGCAUAGAUAGUAUGUAUCUCUCAAGUGAUACGAUAUUCUCGGGCUUGUAUCUCCUAUCAUGAUUUCUUUGUUAGAGGGUUACUUCAAUCCUGUCACCUUUUCACUAACGAGACCUACCGAAUUAGACUUGUUACUGGAG
rnacentral:lncRNA from 1 species